CGAGCUUAGUUUUGUAGCAAUACAGAGCUGAGCGAGUGGCGAACGGGUGCGUAACACGUGAGCAAUCUACCUUAAAGUGGGGGAUAGCUCGCCGAAAGGCGAAUUAAUACCGCAUGUGGUUGUAAAACCAAAGCCGGGGCAACCUGGCGCUUUUAGAGGAGCUCGCGGCCUAUCAGCUUGUUGGUGAGGUAACGGCUCACCAAGGCUUCGACGGGUAGCUGGUCUGAGAGGACGACCAGCCACACUGGAACUGAGACACGGUCCAGACACCUACGGGUGGCAGCAGUCGAGAAUUUUUCUCAAUGGGGGAAACCCUGAAGGAGCGACGCCGCGUGGAGGAUGAAUGCUUUCGGGUUGUAAACUCCUGUCAUUUGGGAACAAAGCCUUACGUUAACUGCGUGGAGGUUUGCUAGUACCAGAAGAGGAAGAGACGGCUAACUCUGUGCCAGCAGCCGCGGUAAUACAGAGGUCUCAAGCGUUGUUCGGAUUCAUUGGGCGUAAAGGGCGCGUAGGCGGCGGGGUAAGUCGGGUGUGAAAUCUCAGAGCUCAACUCUGAAACUGCACUCGAUACUGCUUUGCUCGAGGACUGGAGAGGAGAUUGGAAUUCACGGUGUAGCAGUGAAAUGCGUAGAGAUCGUGAGGAAGACCAGUGGCGAAGGCGGAUCUCUGGACAGUUCCUGACGCUGAGGCGCG
rnacentral:rRNA from 1 species